rnacentral:rRNA from 1 species
AACCCCCCGAACCUASACGAGCUAUUUUAAGGCAGUUUUAUGAACUAACCCAUCUCUGUUGCAAAAGAGUGGGAAGACCUUACAAUAGCAGUGACAGACCAAACGAGUCUAGUGAUAGCUGGUKGCUCUCUAAAAGGAUUUUAGUCCUACUUAAAGUUUUCCCCAUACCACGAAAUUAUACUUUAAAGCCACUCAAAUAAGGUACAGCCUAUUUGAAACAGGAAACAACCUCACCUAUUGGGUCCCUAUUAAUGAAUCUAUGACAAAGUUGACCUAAAAGCAGCCAUCUUUAACGAAAGCGUCAAAGCUCCCUCAUUUAUUCCUCCAAUCCCUCCUCUUUUUAACAACCCAUUUUCCCCAGAGAGCAAUUCUAUAUUUAUAUAGAAAAUUUUAUGUUAAAACUAGUAAUAAGAAGCAAGCCCUUCUCUUUAAUGCAAACUUAAAUCAGUCAGGACCAUCCACUGAUCUUUAAC